GCAUAUUUUAGAGCUAAAAUCAUAUUAAUUAAAUAAUUUAUAUUACUAUCAAAUCCGAUUUCAUUAUUAAUUUUAAAUAAUAAAUCCAAAAAAUAAAUUUAAUGUAAUCCAUCUCUCCUUGCCCAUAAGCUGCACCUUGAUCUGAUUUAUUUUAUAAUUAAAAAUCAUGAAAAUUCAAAUCCUUUAAGAAUUCUCAAACUACGACGGUAUACAAACUUCUAAGACAAGUAAUAUUAAUCGUGGAAUAUCAAUUACAGGACAGAUUCCUCUGAAUAGACUAAAAAACCGCCAAAUUCUUUAAUUUUCAAGAACAUAUCUACUACUAACCUAAAAUUUAUAUUUAAUUCUAAA
rnacentral:rRNA from 1 species